UUUUUUUCUUUUUUUCCUCUUUUAUCCCGAUAAAAAUCAAAUGCAACAGAAAAAUAUGUAACCAGUGGAGUCGAGGUAACAGGGCCACCUGUGUGAUAGUGUAAACUGAGUGGUAGUUUAAUUCUCGAACAUUU